UCCUCACCAUAUAGUGAAAGUGCUGUUCAAGC
rnacentral:piRNA from 1 species